rnacentral:rRNA from 1 species
UACGAAGGGGGCUAGCGUUGCUCGGAAUCACUGGGCGUAAAGCGCACAUAGGCGGAUUGCUAAGUCAGGGGUGAAAUCCUGGAGCUCAACUCCAGAACUGCCUUUGAUACUGGCGAUCUUGAGUCCGGGAGAGGUGAGUGGAACUGCGAGUGUAGAGGUGAAAUUCGUAGAUAUUCGCAAGAACACCAGUGGCGAAGGCGGCUCACUGGCCCGGUACUGACGCUGAGGUGCGAAAGCGUGGGGAGCAAACAGG